UACGUAGGGUGCAAGCGUUUAAUCGGAAUUACUGGGCGUAAAGCGUGCGCAGGCGGUUCUGUAAGUCUGUCGUGAAAUCCCCGGGCUUAACCUGGGAAUUGCGAUGGAGACUGCAAGGCUAGAAUCUGGCAGAGGGGGGUAGAAUUCCACGUGUAGCAGUGAAAUGCGUAGAGAUGUGGAGGAACACCGAUGGCGAAGGCAGCCCCCUGGGUCAAGAUUGACGCUCAUGCACGAAAGGCGUGGGAGCAAACAGGAUUAGAAACCCGUAGG
rnacentral:rRNA from 1 species